GCCAUUACAUUACCCGACACAACACCAACGCAGGUCUCAACCCUUGCAAUCCAUGGCGACCUUAGACGAAACUAUGCAAAUCAAACCGAAGCCAGUGCCGAAACGUUUCGUCAAAAAUCAAAUCCCAGAAACUAUCCUCAACGACCCAUCUCUCAACGCCGCCCAUCUCCCUCUUGCCCUCCAACUAACAACUUGGAAGUCCACAAGUGUGUCUGGCGCAUCCGCUCCACCGGAGCCAAGCGUCUCGCUCUCCAGCUCCCUGAGGGCCUGCUUAUGUAUUCGCUUAUUCUCUCGGAUAUAUUCAUCGCCUUCGCCGGCGUUACCCACUGUUUCAUCCUCGGCGACGUCACUUAUGGCGCCUGUUGUGUGGACGACCUCUCCGCCUUGGCGUUAGGUGCUGAUCUUCUAAUUCACUAUGGCCAUAGCUGCUUGGUCCCCAUCGAUGCUACGAAAGUUCCUUGCCUUUACGUUUUUGUUGACAUUAAAAUCGAUGUUGAGCGCCUGAUUAGCACCAUCAAACUCAAUUUGAAUGAUAAAAAAAGCAUUGUUCUCGCGGGUACUAUUCAGUUCGCAUCUGCGAUUCGUGAAGCAAAGCCUGAGUUGGAAAAGCUGGGCCUUUCGGUUUUGAUUCCUCAAUCGAAACCCUUAUCUGCCGGUGAAGUUUUGGGUUGCACGGCACCCAGGAUAUCAUCGAAAUCUGUAAUUGGUAGUUUCAGUGACAUGGUUUUGGUAUUUGUGGCGGAUGGGAGGUUCCAUUUGGAGGCGUUUAUGAUAGCUAAUCCUGAUAUUAUUGCGUUUAGGUAUGACCCAUAUCUGGGGAAGCUGUUUCUUGAGGAAUAUGAUCAUCAAGGAAUGAAGGAGACGAGGAAGAGGGCAAUAGAGAGGGCAAGGGAAGCCAAGAGUUGGGGUAUUGUGUUGGGCACAUUGGGAAGGCAAGGCAAUCCGAGGAUUUUAGAUAGGUUGGAGAAGAAGAUGAGAGAAAAACAUUUUUCUUAUACCGUUGUUUUGAUGUCAGAGAUUAGUCCUACUAGGAUUGCCUUAUUUGAGCAAUCUGUGGAUGCUUGGAUUCAGAUUGCAUGUCCUCGGCUCUCCAUUGAUUGGGGAGAGGCAUUUGAGAAGCCUCUUUUGACACCUUUUGAGGCAGAGAUUGCUGUUGGGGAUUUACCAGGUUGGUGGGAGAAGGAUAAGAGUGUAGUGGCAAACUCAGGGUGUUGCAGUGGUCUUGGAUGUGGGCACAGUAAUGGAUUGUGUUCUGGAUGUGGUAAUGAAGCUGCAAAGGAUGUAAAGGGUGUGGGUGAUUCUCUUGCUGGUGAUUAUCCCAUGGAUUACUAUGCUCAGGAUGGUGGAGCGUGGAAUUCCUCUU
rnacentral:misc_RNA from 1 species